AGAUUUCAUAACAGAAACGAAAAUAAAUGCGAUUCGCCGAGAACAUAAAUGAACAUAACACAAUUUAUAAAUGAAAAGAACACAAUAUCUAAAUGAACAGAAACAAAGGAAAAUUGGUUUCGAUUGAAGCUCAUUCAAAGUAGCUUGAUCUCCGGGAAAUCACUGAUUUUGCCAGAACCACUGUGGAACUCACGGCUCCAAAUCCACCGCCUCAAGGGAAAAAAUCAUAAAUUCGCCUAUUUACGCCCCGGCAACUGCGCCUGGCCGUUCCACCAGCCAAUUUACGACCCGCAGAGCCCGCCGCUAGUGGCUCCUAACAACGACGUCGGCGCCGACAAAUCCCUUCGGAACAUAAGUUAGAAAAAUUUAACUUAAAUUUACACAUUUACGAACAAAUCAAGAAAUAUUUCGAACAAACACCAAUACUAUCUGAAUCGUUCUCUUUCCCCAUUCCAGAAUCGACAGGACACAAUUUUCCUAUACAAUAUAACAAAUUCAGAAGUCAAAAUCAGAGGAAAAAACUAAAGAUACACAGCCAACAAAAAAUUUUGAACAUAAUUUCAAAAACCCAGCAAAAAUUAGAUUCAAAACCCCUAAAACCCCAAAAAAAUAAAAAUUGAACAAAAAAACAGAAAAGAAAUCGCAUUACCUGUUCGAUUUCAGCCCAAAUCUUGUCUUCAAGCAAAAUCGUCGACCAAGAACUUCGAUAUAACCGGUAAAAUAAAUUAACGAUCGGAAAGCAGAGAAAAUAUUAUCGAAAAUCUGUAGAUAUCAACCAAUUCUUUUUUUAACGAUACAUCUGAGGGAUUGGAACAAGAGAGAGAGAGAGNAUAUAUAU
rnacentral:lncRNA from 1 species